GGUACUCUGUUGGUAGAGUGCUUGCCUCUAAUGCACAAGGCCCUGGGUUCAAUUCCCAGCACCC
rnacentral:tRNA from 1 species